UCAUUAGUGAAUUUCAGGGACUCCACUCUGUGGAUCCCGACCCUCACAUUAUCCACAUACACUUGUGCACUGUUGGUUGGGUGUGAACCUUGGUUUAUCACCUGCCAACGCCAAUUAUACAAACUCUGAGAACUAUGAAUGUGAAUUUAACUUGCCAAUUUUUGGCGAAAUUAAAUACAACUUUCGACAACGGAUCUCUUGGUUCUCCCAUCGAUGAAGAACGCAGCGAAUUGCGAUAAGUAAUGUGAAUUGCAGAAUUCAGUGAAUCAUCGAAUCUUUGAACGCACCUUGCGCUCCCUGGUAUUCCUAGGAGCAUGCCUGUUUGAGUGUCAUGAAUUCCUCAAACCCCAAUGUUUUGCAAAAUUCAUUGCUUGGGUUUGGUUGUGGGCCUAUAUUGCUGCUUCACGGCAGCUGGCCUUAAAGAUAUUAGCUGGACUCUCCGAGAACUCUUGGAUAGUUCCACUUGAUGUGAUAAAUUUGCAUCGGUGGGUCAAGACUAUGCUUGGGAAGUGUGAGAAGUCUGCUUCUAAUCCGGCGAGAGGUUCCAUCCUCGACCCAAUUCAUUUACAACUCUGGCCUCAAAUCAGGCGGCGAGUGAAGCGGGAAGAGCUCAAAUUUGAAAGCUGGCACCUUCGGUGUCCGCGUUGUAAUCUCGAGAAGUGUUUUCCGUGCUGGACCAUGUACAAGUUCCUUGGAAUAGGACGUCAUAGAGGGUGAAAAUCCCGUACUUGACAUGGACGCCCAGUGCUUUGUGAUACACUCUCCACGAGUCGAGUUGUUUGGGAAUGCAGCUCAAAAUGGGUGGUAAAUUCCAUCUAAAGCUAAAUAUUGGGGAAAGACCGAUAGCGAACAAGUACCGUGAGGGAAAGAUGAAAAGCACUUUGGAAAGAGAGUUAAACAGUACGUGAAAUUGUCGAAAGGGAAGCGCUUGAAGUUAGACAUGCUUGCCGGGAUUCAGCCUUGCUUUUGCUUGGUGCAUUUCCCGGUGUGCAGGCCAGCAUCAGUUUUGUUUGCCGGAUAAGGGUGAGAGGAACGUGGCCCCUCGGGGUGUUAUAGCCUCUCACUGGAUACGGCGGAUGGGACUGAGGACCGCAGUGUGCCUUUAUGGCGGGCCUUCGGGCACCUUCACACUUAGGAUGCUGGCGUAAU
rnacentral:sRNA from 1 species